rnacentral:ribozyme from 1 species
AUAAAAGUUCGUUCUGCAAUGGGGUAGGAUCGCAAGACUCUUGAAGGUCGCAUAGGCUCUCCAACUUCGUCACGUUAUCGUCCGCUAGAAUGGAUGGAUUUGCUACUAUGUAUCCUAACUUGGGUGUACGAACCAGUGUCAAUUCUUUGGGCGGAUGGUGGUACAUGGCAAAUCAGGAGUUA